rnacentral:tRNA from 1 species
GCCGGUGUUGCUCAGUGGUUAGAGUGUUGGCCCGUGCACCAAAGGGUCAUGGGUUCGAUUCCCAGUCAAGGGCA